UUUGGGGGGAAAUGUUUGAAUUAUAAUUUCACGAAAACGUUUUUAUUUAUGAAAACUUAUGUAUUGUUUAUUUUAAACAAGCGAUGAAACAACAUGCUCCAUUGAAGGUAAUGGUCGGAUACAUAAUACACCUUGUGCUGACUUCAUUUGCCGUCCUGCAAGGGAAAUUGUGAACCACAUCUAUUGAAGGGAACUCAAAGUUAGCGAAUAAAUAAUUGAUU
rnacentral:lncRNA from 1 species